AAAUGAAGCCAGGAUGCUAAGACUAAGGCUGAUUAUUCAGAGCAUUUGAUUGAGCUGAAAACAAGAGGACAAGCCAUUUUGCCCCUAUUUGAAUCAGUCAUUUGAAGAGUUUCAAGCUCAGACAAGUUUUGAACUGAAGUAGAAAGUAUUACAGCUGGGCUCUGACUUACCAAGGUGCUUCGAAAAACUGACACGAGAGGGCUGAUGACGAGGGGAGGAAGAAUUUGCAUUUUUGAGGAAACGGCACAAAACUUCUUACUUGGUAUGGCGCUUCACCAGGGAGUAUCGUUCAUUGGCAUAACAUUCCAGAGUUUGAAGCCUUGUCUAAUAUGACCUUCAGGGUGCUUUCCUGACCUACUGCUUUCCAGAAUGCAGAAACACAAUGUUUUUGGUUGUCCUCAAAUGUAUACACUGGUUUUGUUUAUACCAAAACAUUUAGCAAGACCAGCUUGUAAUUUACUUUCUAAAUCUCUUAAAAAACAUAUCACAGUAUUUCUUCAGAUACUCUUGUCCAGUAAAUCACUGUUUGUUCAUUUGUUGUUGAGAUAUGUCAGCUGAAUGGCCCUAAUCUGUUUAAUGUAUGCUGUAUCAAGUGUUUUAUUGCAAUAAUGGGGUUUCACUGAGAAACCGACCAAUGUCUUGCAAACUAUUGAGAUUAAUAAAAACAUUGUAGCUCUUGAAAAAUAUCUCCUACAAUUUAGUUUAAGUUCUGAAUGGAUCACAAUACAACCUGAUAUU